rnacentral:rRNA from 1 species
ACUCAAAUGAAUUGACGGGGGCCCGCACAAGCGGCGGAGCGUGCGGUUUAAUUCGACGCAACGCGUAGAACCUUACCAGGGCUUGACAUGCACCUGCAGAGCCGUGAAAGCGGUUGGCCUUCGAGGGUGGUGCACAGGUGCUGCAUGGCUGUCGUCAGCUCGUGUCGUGAGAUGUUGGGUUAAGUCCCGCAACGAGCGCAACCCUCGUGGUUAGUUGCCGAUGUUUCUAGCCAGACUGCCGGUAGCAAGCCGGAGGAAGGUGGGGAUGACGUCAAGUCAGCAUGGCCCUUACGUCCUGGGCUACACGCACGCUACAAUGGCCGGGACAAUGGGCUGCCAAACCGCAAGGUGGAGCGAAUCCCACAAACCCGGUCUCAGUUCAGAUCGCGGGCUGCAACUCGCCCGCGUGAAGGUGGAGUCGCUAGUAACCGCAGGUCAGCACUACUGCGGUGAAUACGUUCCCGGGCCUUGUACACACCGCCCGU